rnacentral:rRNA from 1 species
GCUGGCGGCGUGCCUAAUACAUGCAAGUCGAACGAAGCUUUCUUUCACCGAAUGCUUGCAUUCACCGAAAGAAGCUUAGUGGCGAACGGGUGAGUAACACGUAGGCAACCUGCCCAAAAGAGGGGGACAACACUUGGAAACAGGUGCUAAUACCGCAUAACCAUGAACACCGCAUGGUGUUCAUGUAAAAGACGGCUUUUGCUGUCACUUUUGGAUGGGCCUGCGGCGUAUUAACUUGUUGGUGGGGUAACGGCCUACCAAGGUGAUGAUACGUAGCCGAACUGAGAGGUUGAUCGGCCACAUUGGGACUGAGACACGGCCCAAACUCCUACGGGAGGCAGCAGUAGGGAAUCUUCCACAAUGGACGAAAGUCUGAUGGAGCAACGCCGCGUGAAUGAAGAAGGCCUUCGGGUCGUAAAAUUCUGUUGUCAGAGAAGAACGUGCGUGAGAGUAACUGUUCACGUAUUGACGGUAUCUGACCAGAAAGCCACGGCUAACUACGUGCCAGCAGCCGCGGUAAUACGUAGGUGGCGAGCGUUGUCCGGAUUUAUUGGGCGUAAAGGGAACGCAGGCGGUCUUUUAAGUCUGAUGUGAAAGCCUUCGGCUUAACCGAAGUAGUGCAUUGGAAACUGGAAGACUUGAGUGCAGAAGAGGAGAGUGGAACUCCAUGUGUAGCGGUGAAAUGCGUAGAUAUAUGGAAGAACACCAGUGGCGAAAGCGGCUCUCUGGUCUGUAACUGACGCUGAGGUUCGAAAGCGUGGGUAGCAAACAGGAUUAGAUACCCUGGUAGUCCACGCCGUAAACGAUGAGUGCUAAGUGUUGGAGGGUUUCCGCCCUUCAGUGCUGCAGCUAACGCAUUAAGCACUCCGCCUGGGGAGUA